AUCGAAUCAGCAGCGUGCCGGUAAAGAGUUUUAUUAAAAGAGGAUAGCUCGAGCAGUUUUGGGCGUCAAGUUGAAUUGGACACUGAUUAAGGAUUCUCAUUGAAGAUUAGAGCAGAAACAACUCUUCUCGAAUUGGGUUUUUGGUCUUAAAAAUGGCUAAUGUCGCUAAAAAAGUAAUCCCAUGGCUUCUUGAUACCAUAACGAAAACUACUGGAGAAGGUGAACAAGAAAUUCAACAAAGACGCGAGCUAAACCGCGAACAAGAGCGUUUUAAUUUUGAGAUGGCAAACCGUAUAGCUCGGCUGGAGGAUCGAGCAGAAAGCGAUAAGAUGGCAGCCACUACCCGUUGGCUUAAUCGGGUAGAUCAUCGCGAGGUUGCGGAAAGACACCAGCUUGACCAGAGCGCUUUCAAUCGGGCCAUAUCAGAGGAAGGAGCCCUUCUGAAAAAGCGCCAAAGCAAACUUCAGACCCGUACAGAUGAGUUGCAGAGCGGCCAACAGAAGCUGCAAGACGAGCUGGCCAGCACUUCAGCCAGGGUAAAAGUGAUUGAAAAUUCUACGGGAGAAAUGCUACAGCGUUUGUUUUAUUUUGUAACCGUAUUCAUUAUAAUCAUAUUUGUAUUUGUAUUUGCAUUUGCAUACCUAUUAAGGGCGUAGAUGGUGUCAUUCACUCUUGGGGUAAAGACUGUCAAUAUUCAAUAUGAAUUCACGGUCCAGAAAUAGUA